CAGUAGCCGCGGUAAUACGAAGGGUGCAAGCGUUACUCGGAAUUACUGGGCGUAAAGCGUGCGUAGGUGGUGGUUUAAGUCCGUUGUGAAAGCCCUGGGCUCAACCUGGGAAUUGCAGUGGAUACUGGGUCACUAGAGUGUGGUAGAGGAUAGUGGAAUUUCCGGUGUAGCAGUGAAAUGCGUAGAGAUCGGAAGGAACAUCUGUGGCGAAGGCGACUAUCUGGGCCAACACUGACACUGAGGCACGAAAGCGUGGGGAGCAAACAGGAUUAGAGACCCCGGUAGUCCCUGUCUCUUAUAC
rnacentral:rRNA from 1 species